rnacentral:piRNA from 1 species
UUCGUGGUCUGAGUGGAGACCUGUGC